CGGGUGAGUAACACGUAGAUAAUCUACCUUCAAGCCUGGGAUAACUAUUCGAAAGGAUGGCUAAUACCGGAUGAAGUGCAUUGACAUAAGUUGGUGUAUGAAAGGUUGCCUCUUCUUGAAAGCAAUUGUUUGGAGAUGAGUCUGCGGACCAUUAGUUUGUUGGUGGGGUAAAGGCCUACCAAGACUACGAUGGUUAGCUGGUCUGAGAGGAUGAUCCGCCACACUGGAACUGGAACACGGACCAGACUCC
rnacentral:rRNA from 1 species